UACAGAGGUCUCAAGCGUUGUUCGGAUUCAUUGGGCGUAAAGGGCGCGUAGGUGGCCCGGUCAGUUCGUGGUGAAAGCGCGGGGCUCAACCCUGCGUCGGCCAUGAAUACUGCCGCGGCUGGAGCACUGUAGAGGCAGGCGGAAUUCCGGGUGUAGCGGUGGAAUGCGUAGAGAUCCGGAAGAACACCGGUGGCGAAGGCGGCAUCCUGGACCAUUACUGACACUGAAAAGCGAAAGCCAGGGGAGCAAACGGG
rnacentral:rRNA from 1 species